GCCCUUGUGGUGAAAUUGGUAAACACAGCGGACUUAAAAUCCGCCGCCUAUUAUUGGGCUUGCCGGUUCAAGUCCGGCCGAGGGCACCA
rnacentral:tRNA from 1 species